rnacentral:rRNA from 1 species
CAGUAGCCGCGGGAAUACGUAGGUGGCAAGCGUUGUCCGGAAUUAUUGGGCGUAAAGGGCUCGCAGGCGGUUUCUUAAGUCUGAUGUGAAAGCCCCCGGCUCAACCGGGGAGGGUCAUUGGAAACUGGGAAACUUGAGUGCAGAAGAGGAGAGUGGAAUUCCACGUGUAGCGGUGAAAUGCGUAGAGAUGUGGAGGAACACCAGUGGCGAAGGCGACUCUCUGGUCUGUAACUGACGCUGAGGUGCGAAAGCGUGGGGAGCAAACAGGAUUAGAUACCCCUGUAGUCCCUGUCUCUUAUAC